CUUGCUUCUCUUGAGAGCGGCGGACGGGUGAGUAAUGCCUAGGAAUCUGCCUGGUAGUGGGGGAUAACGUCCGGAAACGGACGCUAAUACCGCAUACGUCCUACGGGAGAAAGCAGGGGACCUUCGGGCCUUGCGCUAUCAGAUGAGCCUAGGUCGGAUUAGCUAGUUGGUGGGGUAAUGGCUCACCAAGGCGACGAUCCGUAACUGGUCUGAGAGGAUGAUCAGUCACACUGGAACUGAGACACGGUCCAGACUCCUACGGGAGGCAGCAGUGGGGAAUAUUGGACAAUGGGCGAAAGCCUGAUCCAGCCAUGCCGCGUGUGUGAAGAAGGUCUUCGGAUUGUAAAGCACUUUAAGUUGGGAGGAAGGGCAGUAAAUUAAUACUUUGCUGUUUUGACGUUACCGACAGAAUAAGCACCGGCUAACUCUGUGCCAGCAGCCGCGGUAAUACAGAGGGUGCAAGCGUUAAUCGGAAUUACUGGGCGUAAAGCGCGCGUAGGUGGUUCGUUAAGUUGGAUGUGAAAUCCCCGGGCUCAACCUGGGAACUACAUUCAAAACUGACGAGCUAGAGUAUGGUAGAGGGUGGUGGAAUUUCCUGUGUAGCGGUGAAAUGCGUAGAUAUAGGAAGGAACACCAGUGGCGAAGCGACCACCUGGACUGAUACUGACACUGAGGUGCGAAAGCGUGGGGAGCAAACAGGAUUAGAUA
rnacentral:rRNA from 1 species